rnacentral:rRNA from 1 species
AGUGAACGCUGGCGGUAGGCCUAACACAUGCAAGUCGAACGGCAGCACAGUAAGAGCUUGCUCUUACGGGUGGCGAGUGGCGGACGGGUGAGGAAUACAUCGGAAUCUACUUUUUCGUGGGGGAUAACGUAGGGAAACUUACGCUAAUACCGCAUACGACCUACGGGUGAAAGCAGGGGAUCUUCGGACCUUGCGCGAUUGAAUGAGCCGAUGUCGGAUUAGCUAGUUGGCGGGGUAAAGGCCCACCAAGGCGACGAUCCGUAGCCGGUCUGAGAGGAUGAUCCGCCACACUGGAACUGAGACACGGUCCAGACUCCUACGGGAGGCAGCAGUGGGGAAUAUUGGACAAUGGGCGCAAGCCUGAUCCAGCCAUACCGCGUGGGUGAAGAAGGCCUUCGGGUUGUAAAGCCCUUUUGUUGGGAAAGAAAAGCAGCAGGUUAAUACCCCGCUGUUCUGACGGUACCCAAAGAAUAAGCACCGGCUAACUUCGUG